GACGAACGCUGGCGGCGUGCCUAAUACAUGCAAGUCGAACGCAGUGGGGACGGGUGAGUAACACGUGGGUAACCUCCCAUCUGAGUGGAUAACACUUGGAAACAGGUGCUAAACCGAUACUGAUGGAUGGACCCGCAGUGCAUUAGCUAGUUGGUGAGGUAACGGCUCACCAAGGCCACGAUGCAUAGCUGAGCUGAGAGGGUGAUCGGCCACACUGGGACUGAGACACGGCCCAGACUCCUACGGGAGGCAGCAGUGGGGAAUCUUGGGCAAUGGACGAAAGUCUGACCCAGCCAUGCCGCGUGAGUGAAGAAGGUUUUCGGAUUGUAAAACUCUUUUGUCAGAGAAGCGGUAUCUAACCAGUAAGCCACGGCUAACUACGUGCCAGCAGCCGCGGUAAUAC
rnacentral:rRNA from 1 species